rnacentral:rRNA from 1 species
UGCUUAUCCUAGCUCAAUCACCCAUAUUACAACAUACCAAACAAAAUCCACUAAACACGUCGAAGCAAAACAUUCUUUGCACCCAGUAUAGGCGAUAGAAAAGUCACUUGACGCAAUAGAGACCAGUACCGUAAGGGAAAGCUGAAAUAACAAUGAAAACCAAAGCAAAAAACAGCAAAGACUAGCCCUUGUACCUUUUGCAUAAUGAUUUAGCCAGAACACCCAAGCAAAGCGAACUUAAGCUUGCCAUCCCGAAACCCAAGCGAGCUACUUGCAAGCAGCUAUCCUGAGCAAACCCGUCUCUGUGGCAAAAGAGUGGGAAGACUUGCUAGUAGAGGUGAAAAGCCAACCGAGCUGGGUGAUAGCUGGUUGUCUGUGAAACGAACCUAAGUUCAUCCCUAACUUUCCCCCAGAUACUCUAACCACCCAAAACCCAUACGAGAGAAGUUAGGAGCAAUUUAAAGGAGGUACAGCUCCUUUAAACAAGAACACAAUCUCAGCCAGAGGGUAACCUUCACCCCCUACACCACACGUAGGCCCUCAAGCAGCCAUCAACAAAGAGUGCGUCAAAGCUCUCCAACUACAAAAAUCUAAAAACACCACGACCCCCUCCCCACUAACAGACUAACCUAUGACUAUAGGAGAAUCAAUGCUAAAAUGAGUAAUUAUGAAACCUCUUCUCUCAAGCGCAAGCUUACAUCACACAUUAUUAACAGACCGACUAAUACCACCACCCCACAAGAACAAAUAUUUUAAACCACUCUGUUAACCCAACAUAGGAGCGCCAUGCUAGAAAGAUUAAAAUCUGCAAAAGGAACUACGGCAAACCAAGGGCCCGACUGUUUACCAAAAACAUAGCCUUCAGCAACCAACAAGUAUUGAAGGUGAUGCCUGCCCAGUGACUAAAGUUUAACGGCCGCGGUAUCCUAACCGUGCAAAGGUAGCGCAAUCAAUUGUCCCAUAAAUCGAGACUUGUAUGAAUGGCUAAACGAGGUCCUAACUGUCUCUUGCAGAUAAUCAAUGAAAUUGAUCUCCCUGUGCAAAAGCAGGGAUACUAACAUAAGACGAGAAGACCCUGUGGAACUUAAAAAUCAAGGACCAAUGCACCUAAACUACCAACCUAUCUAGGCCCAUAAUACCUGCACAACUGGUCCUCAUUUUUCGGUUGGGGCGACCUUGGAGAAAAAAAAAUCCUCCAAAAACAAGACCAUCUAUCUUAACUAAGAACCCACCCCUCAAAGUACUAAUAGGAACCAGACCCAAUAUAAUUGAUUAAUGAACCAAGCUACCCCAGGGAUAACAGCGCAAUCUCCUUCAAGAGCCCAUAUCGACAAGGAGGUUUACGACCUCGAUGUUGGAUCAGGACAUCCUAAUGGUGCAGCCGCUAUUAAGGGUUCGUUUGUUCAACGAUUAACAGUCCUACGUGAUCUGAGUUCAGACCGGAGUAAUCCAGGUCGGUUUCUAUCUAUGCUAUACUCUUCCUAGUACGAAAGGACCGGAAAAGUGAGGCCAAUACUAAACAGCAUGCCUCCUCUCUAAUUAGUGAAACCAACUUAACUAAUAAGAAAAUACCCAAUCCUCAUCACAUCCUAGAAAAGGAUA